UUAUGCUAAUAAGAGCGUAUGGUGGAUGCCUUGGCACUAAGAGCCGAUGAAAGACGUGAUAAGCUGCGAAAAGCUUCGGGGAGGAGCAAAUAUCCUGAGAUCCGGAGAUAUCUGAAUGGGGAAACCUACUUGAGAAGACCUCAAGUAUCCACAGCCCAAUCCAUAAGCUGUGGAAGGGAACCCGGUGAACUGAAACAUCUAAGUAGCCGGAGGAAGAGAAAACAACAUGUGAUUCCGUAAGUAGCGGCGAGCGAACGCGGAAGAGCCCAAACCGGAGUGCGUGCACUCCGGGGUUCGGACUGCAGGAUUGACGAGUGAGCCUAGUAGAAUGGUUUUGGGAAAGCCAGCCAGAGAGGGUGAAAGCCCCGUACACGAAAGGCAAGCGAGCAUGGCAGGAUCCAGAGUACCACGAGACACGUGAAACCUUGUGGGAAUGAGCGGGGACCACCCCGUAAGGCUAAAUACUCCUUAGUGACCGAUAGCGCAUAGUACUGUGAAGGAAAGGUGAAAAGGACCCCGGGAGGGGAGUGAAAGAGAACCUGAAACCAUAUGUUUACAAGCUGUGGAACAUCUUUAUAUGAUGAACCGCGUACUUUUUGUAGAACGGUCCGGCGAGUUACGCUGGCUGGCGAGGUUAAGGGCUGAAGGCCUGGAGCCGAAGGGAAACCGAGUCUGAACAGGGCGAAAUAGUCAGUCGGAGUAGACCCGAAACCGGGUGAUCUAUCCAUGUCCAGGUUGAAGUUGCCGUAAAAGGCAAUGGAGGACCGAACCCACAUCCGUUGAAAAGGGUGGGGAUGAGGUGUGGAUAGGGGAGAAAUUCCAAUCGAACCCGGAGAUAGCUGGUUCUCCUCGAAAUAGCUUUAGGGCUAGCCUCAUGCAAGUCUUACGGAGGUAGAGCACUGAAUUCCUAAGGGGGCGUCAAAGCUUACCAAGGGAUAUCAAACUCCGAAUGCCGUGUAGAUGGUGCAUGGGAGUCAGACUAUCCGAGAUAAGUUGGGUAGUCAAAAGGGAAAGAGCCCAGACCUACAGCUAAGGUCCCAAAAUGUGUGUUAAGUGGAAAAGGAUGUGGGAUUUCGAAGACAACUAGGAUGUUGGCUUAGAAGCAGCCAUCCAUUAAAAGAGUGCGUAAUAGCUCACUAGUCGAGAGGUCCUGCGCCGAAAAUGUCCGGGGCUGAAACACACUACCGAAGCUUGGGAAUUGACGAAUGUUAAUUGGUAGAGGAGCAUUCUUAACGGGGCGAAGCUGUACCGGAAGGAGCAGUGGACUGUUAAGAAGAGAGAAUGCCGGAAUGAGUAGCGAGAGGAAGGUGAGAAUCCUUCCGGCCGAAUAUCUAAGGUUUCCAGAGUAAAGCUGAUCUGCUCUGGGUAAGUCGGGGCCUAAGGCGAGGUCGAAAGACGUAGUCGAUGGAUAACAGGUAAAGAUUCCUGUACUAUAUCAUAACAGAACUGUGGGGACGCAGACAGAGAGCAUAAGCCGGGAAUGGAAAAACCGGUACAAGCGAGGUAGGAGUGCAUCAGGCAAAUCCGGUGCACAAUCUGAAGACGUGAUGUGGGGCGUAAAGCCGGAAGUAUGUGAGCUGGCUGCCAAGAAAAGCCGCUAUUGUUUAUGAUAUACCCGUACCGUAAACCGACACAGGUGGAUGAGGAGAGAAUCCUAAGGCCGACGGGAGAAGCAUUGUUAAGGAACUCGGCAAAAUGACUCCGUAACUUCGGGAGAAGGAGUGCCAUGUAAAAGUGGCCGCAGAGAAUUGGCCCAAGCAACUGUUUAGCAAAAACACAGGUCUAUGCAAAACCGAAAGGUGAGGUAUAUGGGCUGACGCCUGCCCGGUGCUGGAAGGUUAAGGGGAGAGGUUAGUCGUAAGGCGAAGCUUUGAACUUAAGCCCCAGUAAACGGCGGCCGUAACUAUAACGGUCCUAAGGUAGCGAAAUUCCUUGUCGG
rnacentral:rRNA from 1 species